ACUGAUCUCUUUUUUUUAUCUGUUUUGCAUGUUGGAUAUAAUAUAGAUCUAGAACCUUUUGUUAUAAAUAUAGCAGAUAUGAGAUGGAAGAGCGUUGCGAUGACUCGGAAGGAAACUGAUUUGUUUAAAUUGCAAUACUUACAACGCUGAUAUCAAUACUUUAAAGCUCAGUAAAGAACAUUUUUGUUGUCCAUGAAGUGAAAUACAACCUCAAACUGACAUAAGAUACAACACUUGAAAGAUAAGGGACCUAAUGGAACAGCCGAGAAGUUAUCAAACGAAGUAUACAUGGGUAAUACAUUAGUUAGUACUAAAUUAUUAUAGUAUUAUAUUAGGAAUGUAACUAAUUUAUAUUAACCUUUUUCUCCCUUAUUCUUCUUAGUGACUUUUUUUUUAACAUUGUGAGGUUUGUCAACGGGAGUGUUGAAACAAUUCUGGCUUCAAAGGCAUAUGAAAGAUUUUUCAUUAAACAAUAAUCAAGGAGUUACCAGAUGAUAUCAUCGAUGCUAUGAACUACAACCAAUCAGAAAAAGAUAAGUGUUGUACUGAAUAGUGAAUACAAUAAACUAUUUUAUAUGUAUUCAUGGUUUCAUUGAAAAUGUAUUUAAUGAAUAUAUAGUAGUGAUACUAUGUAAACAGCAUGAUUUUUUUUUCAACAGUUUACAUUGGCUAUGAGAAAUAUAAAGGAGAUAUGGAGAAAACCGUAAUGAGAUGAAGAGAAGAACCAGUGUGGGAGCUGAAUGAAUUCCACGUAUGCAGCACUUUCACUUGUACCCUUCAUUCAGUUUUGACAGGAUGAACAUCACAUAACAUUCUGAUUUCGAGAUUGGAACCCAUAUUUUUAUCUCACGGUAUAAAGAUUUUAGAUUUCAAAUAUAUUUUCCGUGUAUCAUUAGCUAUAUAUACAUACUACUUGUAGCUGGCUAAUUAUUCGGAUGAAAAAACAUUAAUAUCUGUCAAUAAUAGGUAUAUUCUAGGGAUAUACGA